AACGAACGCUGGCGGCAUGCCUAACACAUGCAGGUCGAACGAGACCUUCGGGUCUAGUGGCGCACGGGUGCGUAACGCGUGGGAACCUGCCCUUAGGUUCGGAAUAACUCCCCGAAAGGGGUGCUAAUACCGGAUAAUGUCUUCGGACCAAAGAUUUAUCGCCUUUGGAUGGGCCCGCGUUGGAUUAGCUAGUUGGUAGGGUAAAAGCCUACCAAGGCGACGAUCCAUAGCUGGUCUGAGAGGAUGAUCAGCCACACUGGGACUGAGACACGGCCCAGACUCCUACGGGAGGCAGCAGUGGGGAAUAUUGGACAGUGGGCUAAAGCCUGAUCCAGCAAUGCCGCGUGAGUGAUGAAGGCCUUAGGGUUGUAAAGCUCUUUUACCCGGGAUGAUAAUGACAGUACCGGGAGAAUAAGCUCCGGCUAACUCCGUG
rnacentral:rRNA from 1 species